rnacentral:RNase_P_RNA from 1 species
AGUGGACCGGGCAGUCGCUGGCUUACUGCCUUCAUCGGCAGUGCGCGGGAGGAAAGUCCGGGCUCCAUAGGACAGGGUGGUGGGUAACUCCCACCGGCCGAAAGGCUAGGGCAAGUGCAACAGAAAGGAAACCGCCUCACGCAUGCGUGAGGUAAGGGUGAAACGGUGCGGUAAGAGCGCACCAGCAGGUCGGGUGACCGGCUUGGCUAGGUAAACCCCACCCGGAGCAAUGCCAAACAGAAAGCAGUUCCGUUUACGCGGGACAGGGAUCGGUUCGAUCCGUUAUCGACUUUCGGGUAGGCUGCACGAGAUGACGAGCAAUCGUCGUCCUAGAUAAAUGACUGCCACGCAGUUCGCACGAACUGUGACAGGACCCGGCUUACAGGUCCACUCC